rnacentral:lncRNA from 1 species
CCAUUCCGAGUCCCACGGACGAACUUCGCCCAUGCCCCCCACCAAGGCUAUAGCCCACCCGUUUUUUGGCCAUUUUUCCGCUGGGGGGUCUUGGGACCCCGACCUUCGGGGGCUGAUUUUUGGGAGCGGCUGUGCCCGUGGCCUAUUUUUGGCACACGGAGGCCGCCCGCCAAGUCUGGUGCCAUUCCGAGUCCCGCGGACGAACUUCGCCCACGCCGCCCACCAAGGCUAUAGCCCACCCGUUUUUUGGCCAUUUUUCCGCUGGGGGAUCUUGGGACCCCGACCUUCGGGGGCUGAUUUUUGGGCGCGGCUGUGCCCGUGGCCUAUUUUUGGCACACGGAGGCCGCCCGCCAAGUCUGGGGCCAUUCCGAGUCCCGUGGACGAACGUCGCCCACGCCCCCCACCAAGGCUAUAGCCCACCCUUUUUUUGGCCAUUUUUCCGCUGGGGGGUCUUGGGACCCCGACCUUCGGGGGCUGAUUUUUGGGCGCCGCUGUGCCCGUGGCCUAUUUUUUGCACAUGGAGGCCGCCCGCCAAGUAUGGUGCCAUUCCGAGUCCCGCGGAUGAACUUCGCCCACGCCCCCCGCCAAGGCUAUAGCCCACCCUUUUUUUUGGCCAUUUUUCCGCUGGGGGGUCUUGGGACCCCGACCUUCGGGGGCUGGUUUUUGGGAGCGGCUGUGCCCGUGCGCAAAUUUUGGCACACGGAGGCCGCCCGCCAAGUCUGGUGCCAUUCCGAGUCCCGCGGACGAACUUCGCCCACGCCCCCCACCUAGGCUAUAGCCCACCCUUUUUUUGGCCAUUUUUCCGCUGGGGGGUCUUGGGACCCCGACCUUCGGGGGCUGAUUUUUGGGAGCGGCUGUGGCCGUGGGCUAUUUUUGGCACACGGAGGCCGCCCGCCAAGUCUGGUGCCAUUCCGAGUCCUGCGGAUGAACUUCGCCCACGCCCCCCACCAAGGCUAUAGCCCACCCUUUUUUUGGCCAUUUUUCCGCUGGGGGGUCUUGGGGCCCCGACCUUCGGGGGCUGAUUUUUGGGAGCGGCUGUGCCCGUGGGCUAUUUUUGGCACACGGAGGCCGCCCGCCAAGUCUGGUGCCAUUCCGAGUCCCGCGGACGAACUUCGCCCACGCCGCCCACCAAGGCUAUAGCCCACCCGUUUUUUGGCCAUUUUUCCGCUGGGGGAUCUUAGGGACCCCGACCUUCGGGGGCUGAUUUUUGGGGCGCGGCUGUGCCCGUGGCCUAUUUUUGGCA